CGCCAAAUGGUGUAAACUGUUCUUAGAGUGCAGUGCUUGCAAAUUUGCCUGCCUCACUAUUUCCCAUGUACACAUCACAUGUGCACAUCACAUGUACACUCAAAUAUAUUUUUUUUUCUAUUUCCAGUUUAAGCAUCCAUUAUGAAGCCCAGUACCGCAGCCGUUUUCUUUGCCACGUUGCUGUGUGGCAUCGUCAUGACUGUCGGCCAAGCGCACCCCGCAGUCCUCGUCGGCGGUGGAUCGUACGGAUGCAACUGCCCCAUGCUGAACGUGGUGGCCGCAAGACAAUGUUGCGCCACGGUCGGGACUUGCUGCCUCAGGGCAGGGAUGGGCGUUGGAGCUUUCGGCGGACAUCUUGGCGGCGCCGGAUACGGUGGUGUUGGAUACCCGGUUCUCCCAUACGUUCCUCAGAGAUUGGGCAUGCGCAGGCCUGUCCUCACUCCAUUUGGUCACGGUGGCCUGCAGCUCAACAUUGGCGCUGGACUCGGUUGAUAGCAACCCUAACACUCUUGGAAUGAUAAAGGCAUCUAGAUACCAGA